UUCCUAGUUCUACUUGCACAGGAUUUUUUGAGGUCCACUAAAUCUGUUGAUCUUCAAUAUAAUGAUGAAACAUCCAUCUUACAUGUGAAGGACAUGGUAGCCUUUUCGUGUUGUAUUUAUGACGGAGGGCAGGCUGAAAAGUCAGAAAUGGAUGUAGUACGUGAGAAGGGAUGGGGAAAGAAGUUCAAACAAAAAUAUCGUGUUAUUGCACCUGGUCUCAACCGUAAAAAUGGAAAAUGCCCUAUGACCCCUGUAGAGGUUAGACUUUAUUAGCUGUUUUCCUUUCAAAUAAAACUUGCCUUUUCAUCUGGAGAAGAGACUGAAUAUAUCAGCGUUAUUGUACUACCUAAGUGACAUCCUGAUCUAUCUGCUUUAUUUCUUCUCCGGGGAAAGGAAAUUCUUAAAGGCUGAAUACAGCUCUUAUAUUGUAAGUUCUAAACGUGAAAAUAUUGCACCUAUAAGCAGUAUUUCAGGCUCGAACGCCAGCCAAUCUUGUUUGAAAAUAAAUUGUACCAUUGAAAUGCUUGCAUAGCAGACAUGGAAGAAUUGAUUUGUUAUGUAAAACUUGUUAAUCCCCACUUUGUGGGAAUACACUAGGUAUGUUGUUGUUGUUGUAAUACUUUUUAAUCACUUAUACGUUAGUGUCCAUGGAUCAUAUGAAGAAAUACUGUAUCACUUUUGUGAAAAAUCCACCAGCCUCUGAAAUUCCUUUAACAUUUAUCUUGAGCUAUCACUAUGAAACUGGACAUUAUGUAUAAGAAUCUUCUAUAGUGGGUUGGUCUUCUUGUUUUGUCAUAGGAUGUGGCUAAUCAUUUAUGAAUUACCAUAUAAUGUAACAGCACAACUGCAUGUUAAGAAAGCAAAAACAUGGUCAUCUUAAUGUGUUAUAUAGUAGGAUGUGGCACAUUAUUGAUUGGUCUGUCUUGUUUUAUAGUAGGAUAUCUUUAAUGCUGAUAACCAAAAUAUCAGAUAGGAAUCUUUGGAAUUUGUUUAUAGAGAAAGGAUCUUGAUGUAGGAAAAGUAUGUCCACUAGCCUAUUAAUUGUAGCAGAAAAAAGAAGAAUUUUAGAGCUGAAUGUGUGACUGGAACGAUGAAAAAGUGUGUGAUCUUAUGGUUGAAGGAUGGACAUCAGGUGGUGAGAGAUUGGGAGUCAAAAAAGUAAAAGAAAGAAGAGUUUCAUGGCUAUCUUGUGUGGGUUACCAUGAGUGGUACUUGUUCAAGAGAAGCUUUAGAGGCUAAAGCAGGUGGGAGGCUAGGUGACAGUUUGAUGUGUGUGGGGCUAGUUAAAGUUGGAAAUAGGAGCAACAACAAACAAGAUACCAGUGUACCCCCACAAGUGCGGUUUUGAAAGAGUAGGAUGUACCCAUACCUUACCCCUACCUUUGCAGGGUAGAGAGAUGGUUUCCGAUAGAUCCUCAGCUCAAAAGAGAAACUCGAUGCAGGAUUGCAAGAAAAAGAUUACUGCAAAAUAGCAAGACACAAACACUCAAAGCAACAAAUUGUAAGACAUAUUGAAGAAUAAGAAACUACACUUACCUUUUUAAAAGUUUCAUUUUCCAACUUUGACUUGGCAAUCAAAAGAGGCUAAGGUUUGUUUAGUCAUUCAACUCAUUCUAAUAAAAAUGAGAGAUGUUUAUUCUAACUCGAUAUGUUUGAUCAUGAAUACUGCACAGUAUAUUUCCAACUAUAUUCAGUAAAGUCAUUUUUCAUCCUGAGGAUGCUGACUGCUAUCUUGCCAGAAAUAUCAUGUAGCAAAGUAAAAUGAUGAGAAUGCUACCAACUGUUCUUUUUUAAAUGUAGAAAAAGAUAUAAAACAGAAACAAGUAAAGAAGGUUGUAUACUUUAUCAACCAUGAUUUUGGGAAAAGGAUAAAAAAUGAAGGUAAAAACUUCCAGUUUUUAUUUCUUCUUUUCUGUGUGCCAAACCACCAAUUCAUUGAUUGUUUUCUUUUUUCACUUUCUUAUUUUAUUUUAUUUUUGUCAUUUUUUUAUUCAUUAGUCAACUGCAGGUUUACGAGUCAAAUCUUACUUUCUUCCAUUUAGUUCUUUGUUGUAGGUACUCUUUUGUUUCAUAUAUUUUUCUUUGUCAGGAUAGGUUGGGAUGAUGCUCAGGGGUAUGGGAUUUGCCAAAGACACUCCAAUCUAUUUGGCUUCUGGCAAGAUUUACCAGGCAGAUAGAUAUCUAGCACCUCUGCGGAAGAUGUUUCCUCUCCUACAAACCAAGGAGACUUUGGCAACCAAAGAUGAGCUUGCUCCAUUUGAGGUAUAUGUUGAUGAAAAGCCAUUUCUUCAAGAAAUAGCGUGCUGCACAUCUGGACAUGAUUGACUGCAGGCCAAUAAUACCAUCAAAUGGACUAGAUAUUGGACCAGCUCAGAAAUGGAUGUGUCCUCUGUCUAUAUUUGCUCUAACUGCACCUAAGUUUCUCGGAUAAGUAAUUUUUUUUUAAGAGAGGUACCAUGUGCAUAGUUGCUUACAUUCUUUACAGCUACCGUUCUCCAAAUUACUGUGAAAAAGAAAUGUAAAGAACUGAAUCAAGAGAAAUGCUCUCUGCUUAGCAAAUUCAACUAACACGGAUUUGCAUUAAUGCCAGAAAGCACUUUCAAAUCCCAACAAGUUUGAGUUAGCACUAGUACUGAUUAGAGUUUUUCAAAAAUUUGAGCCCUUAUUCAGGUUGACAUGAAACAGAAACUGACUAAGUAGAUUCUAGAUACUGGAACAUUCACCAUAAAUCAUGUCAUAGCCGUGUUGUGUCUAUUGGAGUAUCAAUUAGAGUUUCCUGUCACUAAUUUAGUAUAUACUGGAAGCAAUUAUCUUAUUCUUUGAGCAAGUGUAUAAACAAAUUAACUUCGUUUCCUUCUUUGUUUAUUUUUUUAUUUUUUUGUUUUACAGGGUUAUUCAUCUAGACUAGCGGCUGUGGACUACCUAGUAUGCUUGUUUAGUGAGGUAUUUGUAACCACUCAAGGGGGAAACUUCCCUCAUUUUUUAAUAGGCCAUAGAAGGUACCUUUACAAUGGACAUGCCAAGACUAUCAAACCUGAUAAAAUCAAGCUUGUAACUUUAUUGCAGAACACAAGUACAAGGUAAGAUCCUUCUCCUAUAGCUCUCUUCUAUUUUCUUCUCUUUUUGCUUCUCAUACAACUGAAAAUAAACUCCAGCUUUCCUUGCCUGAAAGCAUUGUACUCCUAUAGGUAGAAUUUGGUGUGAUUUCAUGAAAGCCUCAGUUGCUGACGCUUCUUGAUCGCAAAGGUAGAACUAAAUGCAUUUUUAUGCAUACAAGUCAAUUUAUUUGCUCAAUAAUCAUGAUAUUAUCUAGUCGUGAAUUCAAACUAACCUGCAUGCAAAGAGUAUAUAUCAAAAGAAAAAAAAAGAUUAAGUUUCUAAUAUAACAAAUCAGCUAAUUCUGUUGCCUCGAGGAAUUGAAAUAGACGUGAUCAUUUACCGAAAUUAGGAAGAAUUUUGUGCCUCUUCUGGUUUUCUAAAAGUAAAACCUAAGGAAUGUCCUACUUGACCGAAUAUAGUUGUAAAACAAAUCAAUGGUGAGCUCAAAUGUGCAUAAUAACAAAGUAAACCCUAAAAUUGAUCGUUUCAGAAUGUUUCCGAGGCUGAGUGUUCCUAGAUUUUGGAACACGACAAGUUCGUGUAUGCGCCAAUUGUAAUGCAUUCUAGGUUGACUCUCGCUAGUCUAGUAUCUUCUUUGAGUUUGUUUCAUCUCUUUUUUUUUUUUUUUUUGAGAAAGUAACAUUUCUAUUAUGAACCAACACUUAGGUAGUGCAAAAACCCUUUACAUGCAGUAGGAAGUUAGUAAGAAAACAAAGGCACUCCUAUUCCUAACAUCUCUCUAGAACAUCUAGGAUAUCAUCUGCAGCUAUGUGAGAUUUCUUUGUAUUCCAAAAACACAAAAGCAAAAUACAGUCAUUUUUAAUCCUCUGUACUGUCCUACUUUUAUCUUCAAAGCUUCUGGCAUUCCUUUCCUUCCAAACAGUCCACCAUAUACAUGCUGGAAUGCUCCUCCAGAUGCUCCUGUUUUUGGCUCCAAUCCCUGCUUCCUCCGAACUGUGAAGAGUGUCAACCAUCUUGCUAGGCAUUGUCCAUUGUAUGCUUCUGAGAUUGAUAAAAAUCUUCCAUAGUUGGUCAGUAAUUCUGCAGUGCAAGAACAAAUGUCCAACUGUUUCUGCUGCCUCUCCACAGAGACAACAGUGAGUAACAAGGAUGAUGUUCCUCUUCCUUAAAUUCUCAUGUGUCAGCACAACCUCUUUAGCUAACAACCAUGAGAAGCAUGCCACUUUCAAAAGAAUUGUAGCUUUCCAGAUUUAUUUCCAUGGCUAGAUGUUAUUUUGAGCUCCAACCAAAUUUAGUAGCUUGUAUCCUGAGUUUACCUUGUAGGACCCUUUACUGUGUCCCCUCCACCACAGUCUAUCAAUACCAGCUUUUAGCCCUUGGAAGCAAUCAAGGGUUUUAAGAAGUUCCCCCAUUCUUGGGAUUUCCCAGUCAUUUAAGUUUCUUCUAAAGACUAGGUUCCAACAUUGGACAGACCACAUAUCUUCCAUUGUCUUCUCCUGAUGCUGAGCUAUAUUAAACAAAUCUGGGAACUCUGUUGCUAGACUUCUAUCCCCUAGCCACUUGUCUUUCCAGAAGGAAGUCCUCCUACCAUCAUUGACUGUGAUGGUAGUGUGUUUGAGUAGAAUAUGCCAUCAAUUUCUGAUGGAUCUCCAAGCAGUUACACCAUAUGGAAUGUUAGCUUCUUUUGUAACCUAGCUAUCCAUUUCACCAUACUUUAGCUUGAUCACUUUUUUUUAUAGGGAACUGGUUUCAUGCGCAUAUCUUCAUAACCACUUUAUUUUUAGAGCUUUACUUUGGUUCUUCAAGUUUUUUAUCCCUAGUCCUCCCUGCUUUUGUUGGACAUCAAUAUCUUCCACUUGACUAGGUGAUAGCCCUUCCUAGUCUUGUUUCCUUGCCAGAAAUUUUCUGAUCUUGUCGAGCCUCUGGACAACACUAGCUGGAACUAGAAAGAGGGUGAGCAUAUAAGUUAGGAGGGCAUCUAGUAUUGCAUUUAUCAGGGUGAGUCUGUCCUCCAAAGACAGAUAUUGAGCUUUCCACCUUGACAGCUUCUUUUCACAUUUUUCUAUAACCGUAUCUCAUAUCUCUUUAGAUUUUGACUUAGCCCCCAAAGGCAUUCCUAAGUAGAUAGAAGGAAGAUUUCCCACUUCUCCUCCCAGAAUUGAGGUUGAGGCUAAGAGAUCAAUGUUCGGGAUUGGGUUAAUGGGAUAUACGUGGCUUUUUCCCCAGUUGAUAUGCAAGCCUGAAAUUCCUUCAAAGAGUACAAGGAUCACUCUUAUGUAUCUUAUCUGUUCUUCCUCGGCCUCGCAAAAAAUCAAGGUAUCAUCAGCAUAUUGGAGGUGUGUCACCUCUAGACUACCUCCAUUAUUUUUAGCCAUCUCAAAUCUUGAGAUCCAACCAUUAUAUUUUGCAGUGCUGAUCAUGUUGUUCAGCCCCUCCAUGGCUAGGAUGAAUAAGAAGGGAGGCAGGGGAUCCCCUUGUCUUAUUCCCCUUUGGGAUGCAAAGAAGCCUUUAGGAGUACCAUUAAUCAAUACAGAAAAUUUUACAAUAGAGAUGCAGAAACUGAUCCAUCUAAUCCAUGUGUUCUGAGAGUGUUGAGCAAGAAGUCCCAAUUCACAUGGUCAAAAGCCUUCUCAAUGUCCAGUUUACAUAAGAUUCCAGGUUUCUUUUGGGACAGCCUUGAAUCUACUGCUUCAUUUGCAAUUAAGACCGCAUCCAUGAUUUGUCUUCCAUGAAUGAAGGCCAAUUUUUGUGACCCUACCAAUUUUUCCAUUACCCCUUUUAACCUUUCAGUAAGAACUUUAGACAGUAGCUUAUAGAAACUACCUAUCAGGCUAAUUGGUUUGAAGUCUUAAAGUUCCUUAGCCCCUUUCUUCUUUGGGAUUAAAGCAAUGUAUGUGGCAUUGAAGCUCUUUUCAAACAUUUCAUUUUCAUAGAAAUUGUGGAAGGCUUCCAUAAUAUCAUGCUUUAAGAAAUCUUAACAUUUUAUGAAGAAUCCCAUAGUGUAUCCAUCAGGACUAGGAGCCUUGUCCACAACACACUUCUUCAAACAACUACAACUUCCUGUUCCUGAAAAUUUGCUUGUAACUGGUCUUUCUCUGUUUCCGAAAUUGUGGGCAGCCUAUCAUAUUCCCUGUAGGUCUCUAUUUGUUUGUUUCUAUGUACAUUUUUUUGUAGAACUGUAUAAUUUCCUCCUUAGCACUUUCCGGGUCCUUUACUAGCUCUCCCUGUACUUCUAAAUGGUCGAUGUAGUUACUUCUUUUGUGGGCAUUAGCUGUGAUAUGGAAGAAUUUGGUGUUGUUGUCACCUUCCUUCAACCACAAUAUUCUUGAUCUCUGUCUCCAAGCUAAUUCUUCAUUCUUAAGCAAGGUUUCAAAUUCCAUAAUCGUUUUUGCCUUCUCAGCAGCCUCUUCCUCAGUCAAAGCUUUACUAUCUAUUAUGGAGUCCAUGGUUGCCAUUCUGCUUACCAGAGUGGAUUUCUGCAAAGACAAAUCGCCGUUCUCUUCCCUGCUCUACUCUUUUAGCUUGCAUUUGAGAGCUUUCAGUUUGCAAGCUAAAAUGUAGUCUGGUUUUCCCCAGAAAGUAAAGGAGCUCCACCAUGCUUUGACUCUAUCCGUGAAACCUUCAGUGUUAAGCCACCAAUUUUCGAAUUUGAAAUAUGAUUUGUUAUGCUCCCAAGGGCCAUAUUGUAAAGCUAUAGGCACAUGGUCCGAAGUUAGCCUUUGGAGGGUAGUUUGCUUUACUUUGCUGAACUGUUCACUCCACUCUGCGGAGAAGAAAAUUUUGUCUAUCCUUGAGGCUGUGUUGUUGGUGUCUCCUUUGAACCAUGUAUAACUCCCUUCUUCUAAAGGAAGAUCAAUAAGCUCCAGAUCAUCUAUUGCAUCAAAAAAUUCAGCCACGGUAGAGGUCCUCCUUUGAUAGUUCCUCUUCUCGGUCAAGAACCUAUGCACAUUGAAAUCCCCACAUACAGCCCAAGGACCCUUCAUUAAACCUCUCACAGCUCCUAACUCAUCCCACACUUCCCUUCUUUCCACCUUACAAUUAGGCGCAUAAACACCUGAAAUGUGGCAGUUGAAGUCUUGGAGCAGAGCUUCGAAGCUGCAAGUUAGAGUAUGAACCCUUGAUUGGAGUAUCUCCCCCUUCCAGACUCUACUAUCCCAAAGCUUAAUGAUUCCUCCCCUUGUGCCACUAGCUUCUAAACAAGCAUGUUUAGCCCAUCUCCCACCCCAAAGUUGUUUCACUAUCCCUUGCAUGUCCCUCUGUAACUUUGUUUUCUGAAGACAGAUUAUGUCUGCCUUCCAUUGAUCAAUACAAUUCUUCACUAUUCUUCUCUUAUCAUUCAAUCCCUUUACAUUCCAAGAUAUUAGUUUGAACUUUAUGAUAUUGAUUGUGAAUGCUCUUUCUCCUUAUUCCCACCCUCAUUGUUUUUGAACUUCACAUCAAAAGAGAUCAAGUUUUUCAAUUCGUUGGCACCUUUGAAUCUAUUUUUCUGAUUUCUGAAGGUAGUCCCAUCUUUCUAAUCUAUCUGCAAUCUAUCUGCAGGCAUCUAUUUGCAUAAGAAGCUCCCGAUCUUCCUCCUCGUGGCCCUUGAAAUCAACCCCAAAGAUUUUUCCAAGUUUAAUUAUGUUCUGCCGCACCUAUAUUGAUGUGGUCUUUUCCUUUUCAAAGAUAUAUGGGUGUUUCUGUGGCUAUUGGUGUUGCCUCCUCCACGUUCCACAACUCUCCUCCCAUACUGAAAUUGGCAUUCAUAAUUUGUUGAUCCAUGCAGCUCUCGAGCCCAACGUUUUGUCUGAUAGUUAUUUCCCCCUCUAACUUUUUGGUAAUUUUUGCAAACUCCAACUUAUUAUCUUCGCUGGUACCGGCUUCUCCAUCUUCAGCAGAAUUUUGAAUCCUCCCUUCGUCUUCUUUACUGAUGUUUUCUGGUAAAUUUCUAAGCAUCACAGUCUCCUCCCAUAGAGCAUCUGUGAAGAUUAAGUUGGGUUGGGCUUCUGAGGGCAUCUUUUGUUGAAACUUUUUUUAGACUGGGCCGGCCCAAAAUUAGAGGUACCCAUGUUGUUAUCUGCAUGUAAUAAGCUUUUCACAUGCUCCACAUGUGGGUUAGAUUUUAAAAAAUCGCACCCCACGUAUGUAAUCCAGUUGACAACUGUCAACGCAGCUAUUUCCUUGAUAACAUCAAAAGGCGCUUUAGUCCGCCGGACAAUACCCAUCUUUUUGUCAAAGAGCGAUUGUUGUGUAAAGCCUUUUGCUAGGGUUCCAUUCUUUUCCACUUUUUCCGGCGUAGCUUUCGCCGGAAUUUCGAUGCAGGGGUAAGCCCAUAGCCUUGAUCCAGGUUGAUUCUCUUUGGCAUUGGGCAGGUAUACAACCAGUGAGAGGGGUCCACUAUUGUAGUUGAACCAUCGAUUUUCUCCAGUCUCCUUGGACUAUUUGCUCAACCAUGUGCUUGUUUAGAAAUGUGAAGAGGAAGGUAUAGCCUUCCAUCUCAUAUAUGUGGACACCAAAAGCUUUCUUCCAUGUAAAGGAGGCCCACCUUAGUAUGGGUGACUCAUCUCCUCUAAAAAUUUUCGUCUAAUGCUUCUCCCCAGAGGCCCCUUAGGGUUGUCAGACCUUUCAAUUUGAUCUUAGUGUUGCCAUUUACUGCCCUCAACCGCGCUGACAUAUGAGAUGGUGUGUUCUGGUAGUUGGUUGACCAUACAUUGAUGGUUAGCAUUUAUGAAGUUUUCAAUCUUGAGAGCUAUGUCCCUCCAUCCUGCAUUUAUUGCCAACUCUGGGACAAUAAUAACUUCUCUAACCCCAUCUUUAAGGGACAAAAAGCUCAUGUACUUUUCGUGUUCGUUGUACUUUCUGUGUUCGUUGUACUUUCUGGUGCCAUAAAACUCAACUGCUUGGUCCUUAGUCCUCCAUCUUCUUACCAGAUUCCUACCAGAUUCCUGUUGUCGUUUGAUGCUUCUUUGAGGAUAUGGCAAAUCCACUCCAUUGUCUUCCUACUCAGUGUUAUUCUACGCAUUAUGUUUUUGCUUCUCUCAACCCAGUCCAACCAAAUUGUAUUGCCGGAGUUCCAUCUUGUAAUGUCGAAAGACUUAAAACCCACAUUGAAAUAAAUUCGAUUUUCUGCCAUUGAUUUGAAACAAUAAUAAGAGGGAUUGAAGCAAUAAUCACAGUGGGUGAAUAUUGAUUGGUUAAAAAAAAGAAAGGUUAGAUUGUUGGAGAUCGGUGCCGGAGUGAGACUUCUACAGUCCUAGAAAGUAGGAGAGAGAAGAUCCUUGGUAUCCGUGCCUGGGAGCAUUUUUUCUUAGUGUUCAACUCUCUUUCCUAAUAGAAUGAAUUUGUUUCAUCUUUUCACAUAUCACAUUCUCUUGAAGUACAUGCAACUCUGUCUUAAUCAUCAAGAGCACAAUAUUUGUUGACUGAUGGAGGAUUUCAAGGAAGAUACUAAUCAUAUCAAGAUUUGAUCCUCUAAGAUCUUAGGAUACCUUAGGAUAAUUUUUGUGAUCUAGAAUAUCGUAUCUGUGAUUUUUUUUCUUUCUAUGAUUCUGUACAAUCCCAGAUUUCAUGGGAUUUAGAUGAUUCUACUCAACAAUCUCCUAUGUAUAUAAAACCCAUGUAUAUGACAUAGAAAAGAUUGAAUGAAAUUAUUCAAUCAUCUUAUUUCACAUGGUAUCAGAGCUUUAGGCUUAUUCCUGACCAUUUUUAUUUUAUUCAUUCAGUCUUGAAGUCUUUUUUUCCCGCUUUAUCUGCCCAAAUGUUGAAACCAUUCAAAACCAUGUCUGAAAAGGCAACUGAUGCAAAUAUUCUAGUCCCUGGAAGUGUUUCUGCAGCCGUAGAGAAUAACUCUACAGUUUCAACUGGAGAUUUGCAAAACAUGCAAGCCUCUUAUCGGUUGAAUGGAAGAAAUUACCUAAAAUGGGCUCAACUAGUUCGUACCGUUUUAAAGGGUAAAGGGAAAUUGCGACAUCUUCUUAGUUUAGGACCAUCUAAAGAAGACCGCACGUUUGAUGCAUGGGAUGAACAAGAUGCAAUGGUGAUGUCUUGGUUAUGGAACUCCAUGCUUCUGGAAAUCAGCGAUAACGUUGAGCACUUACGGAAAUUUGGGCAGUGAAGGAGACGUACUCUAAAGUACAUAAUGCUGCCAGGAUCUAUGAAAUAAAAAUAAAACUUUCUGCAACAAAACAGGGAGCUCGACCUGUCACUGAAUAUUCUAACUUUAUACAGGGGUUCUGGCAAGAAAUGGAUCAUUAUCAAUGCAUUCAAAUGUGUUGUAAAGAUGAUACUGUGAUUCUGAAAAGAUUUAUUGAAAAAGAAAGGAUUUAUGAUUUUAUUGCAGGACAGAAUUUGAUGUCGUGUGAGUGCAGAUCUUAGGAAAAGAAGGCUUGCCAUCACUAAAUGAAACACUGGCCAUUAUACGGACAAAAGGCCGGAGGAGUGUUAUACUUGAAACUCAAAUUAAUGAAGGAUCAACUAUUAUAGCAAAAGGACAAAUUCAAGAGAAUUGGAGUUUCACAAUGGGAAAACACUGUCAAGCCUGCCGGUUCAUUCAAACCGCCAAUUAAUAGGGAUAAUCUUUACUGCACCUACUGUAAAAAAUAUCGACACACCCGAGAUAGGUGUUGGAAACUCAAUGGUAGACCUCUAAACAGAAACAUUAGUGAUGGAAAGCAGGCACAAAUAGCUCGCAACCCUGACACUGAUGAAAAUCGACACUCUGCUUUAGAAGGUAGUUCUUCACUGGCCUUCACAGGUAUUUCUUUCUCCUUUGUUACUAAUGUCUCAGACAAACUUUCUCCAAAGUGAGUGGUUGAUUUCGGGGCAAUUGAUCAUAUGACCUGUUUAUCUCAUCUCUUUAUAUCAUAUUCCCCUUGUCCUAACUAUGAAAAAAUAACUAUUGCUGAUGGUUUAGUUCUUACCGUAGCUGGAAAAGGAGACAUACCAUUGGGAAAGUCCUUGAUACUUAAAAAUGUCCUUCAUGUCCCAAAGCUAGAUGUAAAUCUCAUUUCUGUCCAAAAAGUCACCAAAGAUUCCAAAUGCCCAGUACCUUCAUAUUGUUUAUUUCAGGAACGGGACACGAAGGGGAUGAUUAGGCGUGCUAGUGAGAAAGGUGUUCUUUAUUGUUUGGAUUUCCACAAUGGUGAAGAUAAAACUAAGAAUUCCUUAUCUAGUUCAUUCUUGUCUGAAUCAAUUAUGUCCAAUAAAGAGAAAGUAUGGCUUUAUCAUCUUCGCUUAGGCCAUCUGUUCUUCUAUGUAAUCAAAAAGAUGUUUCCAUCUCUGUUUAAAGAUUGAGUGUUGAGUCUUUUCAUUGUGAUGAUUGUGAAAUUGCAAAACACAAAUGUGUUUCCUUUUCAAUUAGUAAUAAAAGAUGUAAGACUCCUUUUUCUCUUAUUCAUAGUGAUAUUUGAGGACCUUCUCCUGAUCCUAAUAUUUCUGGUGCUAGAUGGUUUGUGUUAUUCAUUGAUGAUUGUACAAGAGUAACAUGGAUCUAUUUGUUAAAGCAAAAAUCAGAUGUUAGCCAAAUUCUUCCUACCUUUUUUAAUCUGAUCAAAACCCAAUUUGAUUUGCCAAUUAAAAGAUUCUGAUCUAAUAAUGGCAAGGACUACUUCAACCAAAACCUCUCUGUUUUCUUCCAAAAAGAGGGAAUUAUUCAUGAAUCUUCAUGUGUCAAUACUCCUUAACAAAAUGGAGUAGCAGAGAGAAGAAAUGGUUUGUUACUAGACAUUACUAAAUCACUAUUGUUUCACAAAAGGGUUCCAAAACAGUAUUGGGGGGAAGUUGUCCUAACUGCUGCACUCCUUAGUAGUAGAAUAUCAUCAAGAAUUCUGAAUUUUAAAAGCCCCCUGGAUACUCUUAGGAAUUUCUUCCCGAAUUUUGAAAUUUUCAAUAAAUUGGUUCCUAAUCUUUGGCAGUGUUGCCUAUGUUCAUAUUCAUUCUCAUAAUAGAGGCAAAUUAGAUCCACGUGAUCUUAAGUGUGUUUCCUUAGGAUAUUCUCCUACUAAAAAAGGUUAUAAGUGUUAUCAACCAUCAUCAAAAAAAUUCUUUGUUUCAGCUGAUAUCACAUUUGAUGAGAGUGAAUCAUUUUUAGCCAUUCUUACAAUCAUAGAGACUCACUGAAGAGAGGGGGACCUCUAGACAUUACUAUUUGAUUUGUCUAUUUCUAGUCGUGCCAAAUUCUUGUCCGAGUCACCAUUUCUUCGGUUACCCAAGUCUCUAAUCCAAAUGAACCCACCAAGUCUCCUAAUCUGGAUAUGGAUAAUGGAAUUCUAGAAAAUACUCUACCAUUACAGGUUUAUUCCAGAAGAAAGAGGCUAAUAGAUCAAACUACUCAAAGGCAAUCAUCUACUCGGGUUAUUGCUCCUACUGCCCAUCCUGAACCCGUUGAACCAUCAAAAAUACCAAACCAAACUGAUCAUGAAGAAGAGUCUAACCAAGCUAAUGUCCUUGACCUUCCCAUUGCACUCAAAAAAGGAACCAGAACCUGCAUACAACACCCUUUAAGCCUUUAUGUGACAUAUCAAAACCUAUCCCCAAGUCGUAAAGCUUUUCUCUGGAACAUCCACACAAUUCCUAUCCCUUGUCUGAAGCUUUAGGGAACAAAAAGUGGGAGAAAGCUAUAAAGGUAGAAAUGGAAGCGUUUGAAAAAAACAGAACUUGGGAAAUUGUAGAAUUACCAAAAAGGAAAAAGUCGGUGCGGUGUAGAUGGGUUUUUGCUAUGAAAUAUAAGUCAAAUGGGUCCACAGAAAGAUUUAAAGAACGAUUAGUAGCAAAGAGUUAUACACAGACCUAUAAAGUUGAUUAUUUGGAGACUUUUGCUCUAGUGGAAAAAAUGAAUACAGUAAGAAUCUUAUUAUCAUUGGCUGCGAUUUUUAAUUGGAACCUACCACAAUUUGAUGUGAAAAAUGCAUUACUACAUCGAGAUUUAGAUGAGGAGAUCUAUAUAGAGGUGCCUCUUGGUUUUGCAAACAAGAAAGGAAUGGUGUGUAGACCGAAGAAGGCAUUUUAUGGAUUAAAGCAAUCACCUCGUGCAUGGUUUGGAAGAUUUACAAAGGUCAUGAUCAAGCUAGGGUACCGACAAAGUCAAGGAGACCACACCUUGCUCAUAAGACACUCAGAAACAGGAAAGGUAACAACAUUAUUAGUUUAUGUAGAUGACAUCAUAGUAAUAGGUGCUGAUUCAGAAGAGGUACAAAAUCUAAGGAAGUGUUUUGUCAGGAAUUUGACAUCAAAGAGCUUGAGAAAUUAAAGUAUUUUCUGGGAAUCGAAGUGGCACACUCAAAAUAGGGAAUCUUUAUUUCCCUNNNNNNNNNNNNNNNNNNNNNNNNNNNNNNNNNNNNNNNNNNNNNNNNNNNNNNNNNNNNNNNNNNNNNNNNNNNNNNNNNNNNNNNNNNNNNNNNNUUUGUAUCAAAGGCUUGUAGUGAAAUUGAUCUACUUGUCCCAUACAAGGUCGGACAUUGCCUUUGCUGUGAGUGUUGUAAGCCAAUUUAUGCAUGAUCCUAGAGAAACACAUCUUCAAGUUGUCAACAAGAUUCUACAAUAUCUUAAAGGGAACUCGAGUAAAAGGAAUACUAUUCAAAUGAGGAGGAGACAUAGUUUUAGAGGCUUAUAUUGAUGUAGACUAUGCUGGUUCAUUACUGGAUCGAAGGUCAUUUUCUGGAUAUUGCACUUUCUCAGGAGGAAAUCUGGUGACUUGGAGGAGUAAAAAACAAAAUGUAGUAGCCAGAUCAAGUGCAAAAUCUGAAUUUAGAUCUAUGGCUAUGGGAGUUUGUGAACUGUUAUGAUUAAAGAUAAUCCUUGAUGAUUUGAAGAUAGGCUGGGAAGGACCAAUGAGACUAUAUUGUGACAAUAAAUCAGCAAUAAAUAUAGCUCAUAAUCCUGUACCACAUGAUCGCACUAAGCACAUUGAGGUGGAUAGACAUUUCAUUAAGGAGAAAUUAGAUAGUGGACUCAUUUGUACGCCAUUUGUAUCUACAAAAGAUCAGGUAGCCGAUGUUUUGACAAUAGGAUUGCCAAACAAUAUGUUUCAAGAUCUAAUAAGCAACCUAGGAAUGGAAAAUAUCCAUUCACCUGCUUGAGGGGGAGUGUUGACUGCUAGAGGAUUUCAAGGAAGAUGCUCGUCAUAUCAAGAUUUGAUCCUCUAAGAUCUUAGGAUAUCAUAAGAUAUCUUAGGAUAAUUGUUGUAAUCUAGAAUAUCCUAUCUAUGAUUCUCUCUUUAUGUAGAAUAUCUGAUUCUGCACAAUUCCAGAUUUCAUGGGAUUUAGAUGAUUCUACUCGACAAUCUCCUAUGUAUAUAAAAGCCAUGUAUAUGACAUAGAAAAGUGUGAAUGAAAUUAUUCAAUCAUCUUAUUCCACAAUAUCAAAAUUUCUUUUUAUUUUUCCCUUUUUAUAAUUGUCUUUUUUUUUUUUGUUUUCCUGGAACUGCUAAACAGUUGGAUUGAUUUCAAGCAUCAAAUGGGAUCAAUGCUGGCCGAAAGUGAUAGGAAGGGCAUAAUGGUACCUAGAGUUAAGAAGUCCACCAGAAAAGGGUCUAUCUAUUCGAAUCCUCUGCCUGAAUGCAGGUGCCUUUGGGAGUCAGAAAGAGCUACCAACCGUAGUAAUUCAUACCUCAUGGUAGAUCAUUGAGAUUGGUCCAAGUUCUAAGUUCCUUUGAUUUGAGCAGUCUAAGUUGAUCAGUUAAGUUGGGAUCCUUUUGCAAGCACCAGUUACUCUUCUGUUUUGCUUGUUACCUCUGGAACAGUAACAAAGUAUCCAAU
rnacentral:lncRNA from 1 species